AAUCUUAAUCUUCUUUUUCUCUUUUGGUUCUUUUUUAUUUAACAAAUUCGAUCUAUAGGUUCUCUUUUUUUUCUUUCUUCUUCUUCUUCUUCUUCUUCUUCUUCUAUUACUCUUAUUAUUACAGUUUUUCAAUUAUCAAUCUAGAGUUUAAACAAAUUUUUGCUGGUUGUAGUAAUAUGUUAGGGUUAAUUUUAAGGUCCAUUGAAUUCGUUAUGGUGAAUUUUGUUGGUUUGUUUUUGAUUUUAUGGUUCAAUUUAUCUGAUUGUAGCAACAUAUUAGGUUUAAUUUUGGUCAAUUUGAUUUAUGGAUUCACUUUUAUUAUUAGGUUUUAGGGUUAGUUGCAGUGAAAUUGGAUCUAUUAUGGUGAAGUUUGUUGGUUGGUGUUUGAUUUUAGGUUCAUUUUUGCUGGUGGUAGUAACAUGUUAGGGUUAAUAGUAGUUGAAUUUGAUUCAUGGAUUCAUUUGUUGCUUCGAUUUACAGUUAGUUGCAGUGGAAUUGACUUUACUGGUUUCAAUUUUGUGUACUGCUGUUAGAUUUUACGGUUCACUUGGUUGAAAUAUUGUUCCUCACAUUAGUUAGGUGAUAUGUUUAGCUGUUUAUGAUUUCGGCAGAUACUUUUCAAUUCAUUGCUUGAUAUUUUGUUGGUUGAUUCAUAGUGUUAGGUUGUCGUACAAUUUUCUCAAGAGUUCAUUAGGCAAAUACUGCUCAUGGUGCAUCCUGUAGUUUUUUUAAUUUUUAUAUCCUUCAUCUUGUGUACAUCAAAGGCACUGUCCUUUUCUUAGAUGUCCUGCUACUGUUUCUGUUAUUGUCAACUGUUAUGGCAAAACUUUUGUGGAUAACAGUUCAUAAAGCAUUGUGUAGGUGUACUUCUCUGGAGAUGUUUUCUACUGAAGCAUUAUUUCAGAGAUUCACAAGCAACAUCAUUUGAAAAGUCGCAGUUGCAGCCCUUGCUCCCUAUCUUUGAGGCUUUGCCCAUGAACUACAUAUUAAUGUUUCAUAUUUUUUCCAUAACUAGUUCCCUGCACAUCAUGGUGGCCAAAUGUGAUUCUGAAUGAUCUGAAGAAGGAAACUUUUGUACCGUUCCUUUGAGGGAUGUUUUCUAGGAAAUGCACGUCUCUUCAACUUUGAGGCUUACUGCAGAAUCCAUCAGCGCAUUAAUAUAGGCUGCUUUAUACCUGUGCUUUGUCGUUCUCUUCCUAAAGCGCAAUUUUGGGCGCUCUAUGUUGUACAGGUUAAGUAGUACAAGCAAAAAUCUUAAUUGAAGGUAGUUGAGUUGGAGAUAGCUUUCUAUAUUCCCGAUAUACAGAAACAAUACAAGGAACCAUUGGUGAUGGUGUUUCAGUGUUACGAUAUUAGGAAGGUUGUGACAGAGGUUGGUCCUGGGGUGGAACUUGUGGAACUGCGAAAGAUUGCAGUUGAGUAGAAGAUGCAAGUGAAAGUGUUGAGGAUUGGUUGAGUAUGUUGCAGAGAUGAGGCUGUGGUGGUUAUGAUGAAAUAGAUGAAACCCUAAGCUUAUAGAGAAGUAUGGUCCGUCUCAGUUACUCAUCCAUAGCUGGAAAUUAUUAUCCAAUAAGUCUUUUUCUCUCUACGCAACGUUAUUGCAUUUUCUGCGAUUGUGUAUAUUUUACUUAAAGUUGCGGUACAUUUCAAUAUGUUUCUCUUGAGAGUAAGUUCAACAUACUUAAUUAUGAUUACUGGAACGAUUUACUUGAGUCUGAACUGUGAAGGCAUGAUCUUCAGUUUGUGUUGAGCUCUAGAACUGGUGUCAAUGAUUUCACACUUUCACUCUUGGUCCAUCACUUAGAGAGUUCAUUAUGACUCAUCCUGACAUUAAGGACCAAAGAUAGUACUAACUUAUGAAACUUCAUCUUACCUGGUUGCAGUUAACUAGGCACUCAAAGAAGAGAAAUAUGCUUCCCGGAGAGGGAUUCUCCCUAUGCUUCAAGCCGAAGAGGAUGAAAGGUGAAAUCUACACUGUUAAUCCCCUGUUACCCGUCCAAUAUACACUGUCAAUCGAGUUUUAUGAUGCCUAAGAUUUCAACAAAGCAAGCCUGCAAAGGAGUGUUUUAAACUUAGAUGAUAAGUACAACAACUAGAUAGUUGUAUGUCAUGUUUGCGGCAUGUGUAUUGGUUAUCUGUUUGCAAUAGAAUCCUUAAACAUCUUUUAGGGUUUCGCUUGUGGAUAUGCAGGGAAUCUCUUUGAGGAAUCUUUAGCAAAAUGGUUUGGAUGUUGUAUCCUUUUGCAUUUGUUAUUUUCUCCAUCAUGUUUGAGGGACUAAUUUGGAUGAAUAUCUGGGUUUUGACCAGGUGCUUCAUGCGUAACCUAAUCGCCACGCUGUCCUUAGUGCUUCAGAAUCACGACCAGAUUUGGUAAACUCGUUUUUUUUUGUGAUUGUCGUAUUGUUUUUGAUCUACGAAGGUGAGAUGGAUUUUUUGUUUAAGGAUUCAAAAUCAAUAAGAUGUCAGUGACUUUGAUAAUUUAUACAUUAGGCCUGGCUGUGUCAUUAUCUCCUGGGAUCAAGUGAGUGUAGUGACUUUUUUAACAUCAUUGAACAAUCUCUUCUUAACUUUACUCUGAUCAUUUUUUGUGUAUUUGUGAAUGUCAGCCCGAAUGGAAGGUUUUUAGUUCAUACAGGCAGGCAAUUAACAUCACAUAAAAAUGCCGGACUUGUUAGGUAGAGCUCUUAUCUCACUCAUCCAAUCUUCAACUCGUACCGCACAGAGCAUGAAUUGCUCAGAUACCUUCACAGAUUAUUUGGUGAACAACCAUGGUACCAUUGCAAGGUAUGGAACCAAAGAAUUCAUAUAAGGAAACAGGUGCUGAUUGAUGCCGUUAGAACUGCAAAUAAGGAC